rnacentral:rRNA from 1 species
UACGAAGGGGGCUAGCGUUGCUCGGAAUCACUGGGCGUAAAGCGCACGUAGGCGGACUCUUAAGUCAGGGGUGAAAUCCUGGAGCUCAACUCCAGAACUGCCCUUGAUACUGGGAGCCUUGAGUUCGGGAGAGGUGAGUGGAACUGCGAGUGUAGAGGUGAAAUUCGGUAGAUAUUCGCAAGAACACCAGUGGCGGAAGGCGGCUCACUGGCCCGAUACUGACGCUGAGGUGCGAAAGCGUGGGGAGCAA